CCCUCCGGGGUGUAAACUUCUUUUAUACGGGAAAAAACCACCGUUCGUGUAUCGGUGCUGAUGGUACCGUAAGAAUAAGCAUCGGCUAACUCCGUGCCAGCAGCCGCGGUAAUACGGAGGAUGCAAGCGUUAUCCGGAUUCAUUGGGUUUAAAGGGUGCGCAGGCGGAUUAAUAAGUCAGUGGUGAAAUCCUACGGCUCAACUGUAGAACUGCCAUUGAUACUGUUAGUCUUGAGUAUUGUUGAGGUAGGCGGAAUGUGUCAUGUAGCGGUGAAAUGCUUAGAUAUGACACAGAACACCAAUCGCGAAGGCAGCUUACCAAGCAAUAACGGACGCUCAUGCACGAAAGCGUGGGGAUCAAACA
rnacentral:rRNA from 1 species